GCCCUGUUAGCUCAGUUGGUAGAGCAGCUCCCUUUUAAGGAGAUGGUCGCAGGUUCGACUCCUGCACGGGGCACAA
rnacentral:tRNA from 1 species